UUCAGUCAGGACGCGCUAUAAUGUCAGAAACUGCGAAUAUAUGCUGCAUGGAGAUAGAACAGGUCUUUCGGGCCAGUUCACGCUCUUUUUCCUGCACCUCUGUGUCAUCCAGCACCUCCAGACUGGGUAUCUGACUGAUCACAUACUGCCUGUCAUAGAGAAAUGAUACUCAUCCAGCAAGUUGUAACUGAGGUCCAGAACCUCCAGAGUGUCCUGUUGCUGAAGGAUGGUGUCAUAGGGAAUCUCCAAGAGGCCCUGGUAGGCAAAAGAGAGCCUCUGAGGACCCACCACCACAGCAG